UGUCCAAAACCAAAGGCCUUACUCUAAAGCUGAAGGCAAGACAGCUAGGGAGCACGCACUGCUGAAACAAGCAGCAGAAAAAGAGCAGUCUUGUGACUUGCAAGCAGUUUUAUCUUUCCCUCUGAAUGGAAAACGGAAACGCAAAGUCCUCUCGGGUACGCAGUUCUCUUGUUAGAACCAGGCACCCAGCAAUGCAGCAGUCUGUGGUACCGGAGCACUGGCUCUAGCUCCCAGUGCUUCACGUGCUGUUAUGGUGUGGAAUACUGAUAACAAAAAUCAUACAACCAUGACAGUGGCAAAAACACAAUCUUAACUCUCACAGGAACACAACUCGUGACAGGUCGCCAGCCGGAUUUAACUCCAUUCACUGCCACUCUGCACCCAGCCCUUCAGCCACUGCUUUACCAACCCAGCCAUGGGAUGCCAGUUUCUCCAGAAGAAUAAGCAGCAGACAGUGCCAAAGGCUUUGCUGAAGUGUAGACUACGUCAACAGCCUUUGCCUCAUCUACCAGUCCUCCAAGUCAGCGGGUGGAGUACCUGAGCAUAAUUGAUCUGACUUCUAAAGACAGACGUACAGAAGACACUGAGAACCUCAACCUUUUCCUUAUCCACAGUAGUCAUGUUCCCCACCCCAUCCGGAAGCAAACUCUUCUCUCCUGGAGCCUCAGCAAAAGUUCCCUGUUCUUCUCUGCCAGCUCAUUCUACAGCACAGGGGAACAGCCUGCUCCUGUGCCUCUAAGACUGUGGGAAUACAGGAAAACCUGUUCAGAGCAGCAGCUGUGGAGCAAGAUAAACAGCAAGAGAGCCAAGGACACCUCUAGAAGAAGAA